AUUGAACGCUGGCGGCAGGCCUAACACAUGCAAGUCGAGCGGAUGAAGGGAGCUUGCUCCUGGAUUCAGCGGCGGACGGGUGAGUAAUGCCUAGGAAUCUGCCUGGUAGUGGGGGAUAACGUCCGGAAACGGGCGCUAGUACCGCAUACGUCCUGAGGGAGAAAGUGGGGGAUCUUCGGACCUCACGCUAUCAGAUGAGCCUAGGUCGGAUUAGCUAGUUGGUGGGGUAAAGGCCUACCAAGGCGACGAUCCGUAACUGGUCUGAGAGGAUGAUCAGUCACACUGGAACUGAGACACGGUCCAGACUCCUACGGGAGGCAGCAGUGGGGAAUAUUGGACAAUGGGCGAAAGCCUGAUCCAGCCAUGCCGCGUGUGUGAAGAAGGUCUUCGGAUUGUAAAGCACUUUAAGUUGGGAGGAAGGGCAGUAAGUUAAUACCUUGCUGUUUUGACGUUACCAACAGAAUAAGCACCGGCCAACUUCGUG
rnacentral:rRNA from 1 species